rnacentral:lncRNA from 1 species
CUCACCCUCCUCCAACUGAUCUCUGCUCGCUCCACUGGUACGUAAAACGAUUACACCCUCACUUCCUUCUCACACAUAUAUAUAUCUAUACAUUUAUACAUAUACUUAUAUAUAUAUAUAUAUAUAUAUCACAAAUCGAUCACAGAUCACGUGUUUCCAAACCGUACCAAGCUUCGCCGAAUUCAUGCUUUUUGUAGUCUUAAUUUUUUUUUUCAAUAGAAUUAUAUUUCUGUUUGAUAGCUGGUAAGAACUCUUCUGCAUCUGUGCAAUGAGAAGAGGAAACCAAGAGAUUUCGAAUUUUAUAUAUAUUUGUGUGUAUGUAUUUGUGGUGUAUUUGGAAUUGUUAAUGGUGUAAUUUCAACUUAGCUAAGUCUUACAGUCGUCUCUGGUUAACUUUGAUUUUGCAUGUUUAUGAUUUUGAGUUCCGGCAUGCCGAUUCUGUGAGAUUUAUUGAAGUUUCCUAUCCUUUUUAACAUUGGUUUCAAUUUCCCUUCAUAUGUUCAUUCACCUACUCUUGAUUUUAUUUCGAUUUUUGUUGUAUGAUUAUGUUUCUAUAACGAGGUAUAUCGAUAAAUGUUUCGUUUGAUUCGUAGGCAGAGGCACUUUUCGCUAUGCAAUAUUUCUGGUGGAUCUGUAUUUCAUAAUACGUUUAGGAUAUUGAAUUUUGUAGGUUUUCACUUUUUUUAUUAUUUCCUAUCUUUUAUGGUAGAUUUUUCUUCAGAUUUCAUGCUAUUCUUCGUUGUUUAAUCUAUGGAUCUUUAGGUGGUUGUUUAUGUGGUGAAAUAAUUAAGGUAUUCGAAUUUCUUUUGUUAGCUGGAAGUUCUAAUUCUUUUUUGCGUUACUAAGUUCGGUACAAGAACACAUGUAAUAUAAUUGUGGCUUCUUUGAUAAUAUGGUCAAGAAUUAUUCUGUUCUGUAAACAAUGAUGUCCAUUGAUGUUGUUACUUAUGUUUCUUGAUAACUGCACAUUGUCGGACUUAUUAGACACGUCAACUUGUUUUGAAAUAAAUCUAUUUAGCUGUAAUGUGGAUGAAAUAGGAUGCUUUUGUGCCCUGAGCUUGUUUUCAAUUGCUGCAUCCACUUUAGAUGCGGCAUAUUUGUGCCUCAACCCAGUUCAACUGAAUGCCACUUAGUCAUUAGAUGUUUACCUUGUUUUUAUUUGUCCUAUAUUUUGUACAGAGACACGCGGUGCUCUGGUGGAUUUGAAGUUUGUGUGUGUAUAGAUGUCAAUUGCUAAACCUACGACCUCAAACUCUCUGUUUGCUAUGAAAUCAAAGGAGGAAAAUGAUUCCCUUGACACUAUCAUCAAACAAGCUGCAAAAGAGCCAUCUAUUUCUUUCUCAAGGGCUGGGGAUAGCCCAGUCCCGUGGAUUCAGCUACUUCAUGCCUUAGACCAACAAGGUACUAGAAACUAUUUCGUAUAAUCACAACUUUAUUUGAUUAUAGAAGUAGUGCACCAUUAGAUUGAGAUUUGUGCCAUACCUAAUGGGGAGUAUCCUGCAUUCGGUUUGCCUUUCUCAAUCCACUGCUAAGGCCAAUGGCUGUUUUAAUAUACAUAUUAUGCCAUAAGAAGGUAAUUUGUUUCUAAGUGUUUGAUGAUACACGUUACUCUGGCAGAACUUCCAGGUUGGCCCCUGCACUCUCCUAUUAAAGUGCAGAUGCAAAAGUGUGACAAGUGCCCUCGAGAGUUUUGCUCAUCCAUCAACUACAGAAGACACAUACGUGUGCAUCACCGAUUGAAAAAGCUUGAUAAGGUAUCCCUUCUAUUUUUAACUGUUGUAAAUUUGUCUAUAUUGUUUUUCUGUGAGUUGCGAUCUUUUGCCGCCCAUUGUGUUCAUAAUGCUUAUUUUGUUUACAUCUUGUAGGAUUCUUCUAAAAAUAGGGAGCUUCUAGGUGAAUUUUGGGAUAAGGUAUUUAUUCUUUGAAUACAGUAAUGCUACCUUCUUCUUAGUGUAUGUUCUCACCCUUCCAUGAUUUGGUCUUUGUCCAGCUCUCGCCAGAAGAGGCAACAGAAGCUAUAUCAUUCAAGAAUGUGACUUUAGAGGUAUUUUCUGUUACUUGCCUUAGUUUUUAUGUCAUGCAUCAUAAGUUAUAAUCAUGUUCCGUGGUAUGGUAUUAAGUGACAUUUUUUUCCCUCGUGCUUAGAUUCAUCAAACAUAAACUAGGGUAGGAUAGUAAAUGUGUUUUUGUCCUCACAGAUCGUAGUUUUGAAUUACCAUGAUUUUUUCUUCGCCCCUUCCUCCAGUUAAUUUCUAGUGGGCUUCAUUUGUUUCAAAGUCACUAUAUUAUUUGUGCUGGUGUCAUCUUUAUUUAGCUUCUACAUUUUAUUUCUUAAAUUGUUAAUUAAGUGCAAUCAUGUGAAAGAAACAGUGUUUAAGGGAGAGUUCCUAAUUUAAUAUAUUUUCUAGGAAGUUCCAGGGUCUUCAAUUAUAAAGGCAUUGACAACACUUAUACGGAAACCAGGAUUUUCUCCUUUCCCCCACAUUUAUUUGAAGGCCGGUUCAGCCCUUCUGGUAAGACAUUAUUCUUUUUCUUGUGUAUGAGUAUUUAUUGUAAUGAACUGCCACAUUGCCUGUUAUAUGGAUGUGAUAUUGUGAUUCUUUUCCUUUUAUCCAGGAUAUUUUUCAAGCUAGACCUUCCAGGUUUCCCAUAUCUUCCCAGGAGUUAUUUUCUAUCCUCGAUGAUGCAAGUGAAAAGACAUUUCUGUCUGGGACAGCCAUAUCAAUGCAAAGAUAUAUUUUUGAUGGGGAGGCUGGGAAAAUUGGCCUUGAAUCAAAAAACUUAGUUGCUUGUACAAGCUUCCUGGUGGAACAGAAAUUGGUAACUUUCUUGCUUCCUUUCCAUUUUUAAAUAUAGUUGAUUUUACUAUGUUUAUUGCGUUUCAGCCUGUGGUGAUUUUUUGCUCAGUUGAAAGCCUGGCAUGCUGACAAGGAUACGGAAGCUUUGAGGUUACAGAAGUUGCUAGUGGAGGAAGAAGAAGCUGCUCAAAGAAGGUACAAACAAGCAUUUCUAUUUGAUUUUCGGCACAAUUCUGUUUUUUAAUUGUGUUGGUGGGAAGAUUUUCAGUGCCUUUACCUUUUUCUUAAAAAAGUCACCUCUUUAAACUCGGCACUAUAUAGAGUAUAGGCCAGCAUGACUGAUUAAGCUGUUCCCUAUUGUUUUUUAUCAGUUGCAUAAUCUGUUUGGUCUUAUUUUCUGAAUAACUGUAGGCAAACAGAGCUGUUGGAAAGGAAAAGGCAGAAGAAGCUUAGGCAGAAAGAACUGAAGGAAAAGGAUCAGAGACAUGGGGAGAAGGUCGAUGUUACGGAGAACAUUGAUGAAACUCUGGAGGCUGUGCCACUCGUAGAAACAUCUAGUCCUUCAGCAACAUUUGAUUCUGACACGGCCAGUUCGGAUAUGCUGGAUCAUGCCUGCUUAUCUCUUGAAUCAUUCCAACUCUCAAACAUGGAUGUAAGUGCGGAUCCCGAAUCUCAGACUGGAGUUAACUUUGGACAUGUUGAUUCGGUGAGUGGACCAAAUGUUGAACGGCCGGUGGUGCAAGGAAAUGGUAGUCGGCGUGCAGUUGCUCAAUGGCAGUUGUCUCCAAAAUCGCAGCGGGGUGUGCCCAAUGGAUUUCAUGGAGGUCAUAGUUCUCAAACAUUGAAGCAUUCAUCCACAAAACACCAUGGUAACCACAGGGAUGCAAGGGCUGCUUCCAGUGGCAAUAGAGUAUGGAGUCGAAAGCCUAAACCAGAAUAUGAUGGGAGGAGUUUGAAAGCUGGAGAACAGAAAGAAGCAUCUGAACCAGAUCAAAUCAAGAACCGUGAGGUUUUGAUUGGUUCUAUACCAGUCAAUCUUGGAAAUUGUUGCCAGGAAAGUAAUAAUCAGGCUGGUGUUCACGAUGAUUGUCUUUCAGAGAAGGGUCAAAUGCCAAAGGACAAUUCUCAGGAUAAAACCAAUAAACCUGAUCUGGUACAGAGUGGCACAAACCGGUCAACAGUGAAGCUUUGGAGGCCAGUGAGCCGGAAUGGAACAAAAGGUCCUAUGCCAAUUCAGAACGGCAGCAAAGAAUCUGACAUAAAUGUGGUAGCUGAAAAGGGCAACAGCCAAAACCCUUACAGUGAAAAUUGUGAAGGAUCGUGUGUUGUGGAUGGCCAUAAUGUUGGAAACGGGAAUGACUCAACUCACCCCGAUGAAACUGGAAGGCUGGGCUUCUCUAGCCAUGCGGCAAAAGAUUUUCUUGCACAGAGUGAGUUCAGCUCCAUUAUUAUAUCUUGUUCUAUUUUAUCUUUUGUACAAGCAGCUCCCCAUGGAAGUUAAUUAAAAAUACAAUACAAUAAAUACACGUCUUGUUUGUGCAGGAUGGAAGGAUGCUAUUGCCGCAGAUCAUGUGGAAUUGGUUCUAUUCCAAGACUCUGAACCUCCCAGAUGCCCGGAAAAUCAAAAUGACCGAGAAGUAGCAGCGACUCAUCCAUCGAGGUUUAAACGCAGCAUUCUUGGCAAUGCAGAAAACCGGCUUGUAAAUGGAGAGGCAUUUGAUUUGCCAACUGCUGGAGCUGCUAAAGUCAGGCGCAGGACGAAGCAUGAUAAGGGUGUGAAGAUCAAGUACAUUCCGAAACCUAGUGCAGUUGCCUAGUAAUCGAGGGUAAAGAGAUGGUUUUUCUUUUCUUUUUUCGGGGUUAUACAACGUGCACAGUUUAGCCAGUGAUUAUAUUCGUAGCAGCAGAGGGGUCCAGUUUUUACCAGCGGUCUUCUGUCGGAAAAUCGAAGAACAAGUUUUGGAAGAUAAGUUUUUUUUUUUUUUUUUUUUUUUUUACUUUUGUUAUAGUUCCGUCCUUUUUUCUUUGUCAUAGCAGAUUGAUUAGUGAGAUUUUUCUUCCCUUUAUAAAAAAUUUGUGUAAUAAAUUUGGUUUUGUGGUUUGAGCCGUCCUUUCCUAUUUUCGUUGUCAUGCGUUUUUCGUACCGUCUCGAUGGCGUCGUGGAUGAGACCGACGGACCAAACGAGUCGGUUUCUGGACAGGCAUUUUGUUUAUGAAGGUGCAUUUGUGAUGUCAUUUCGGGUCACAGCAUUUGAAGUUGAAAUUGAGAAAGGUGUAUUAUACAAGAAUUUUGAUCAAAUUGGAAUAUAUUUUCGCUUAUGUUUUUUUUAUUUUUAUCAAAUUCGAUUGUGUAGACUUCCCAAUCGAAUGUAUUCCUCUAUUAAUGGGCUAGCACAUGAGUUAUCUGUACUGACUAUUUAUUGCACGACUCGUUAACUCAUAUGAAACGAAACGAAAAUUACAAGUUUCGGAUUAAUUUGUUCACUCAUUGGAUCGUUAUCAGUCAUUCAUUAAGAAUUUGUUAAUGAGUUGUGUCGUUAUCAGAUUACAUCAAACAUGAUGAUUUGUUGCAUCCACACGUUAAAAUGAUAUGGUCCAUUAACGAAUCGCGUCACAUGUUACAAAUCUAUUAAGAUAACGGAUUUGAUAUAACAUGACUCAUCAAAAUGAUACAAUUCAUUAACGAAUCAGGUCGCUAUCAAGUUACAUGUUAAGAAUUUGUUAAGAUAAUGAGUUUAACAUAAUAUGAUUCGUUAAGAUAACGGAUAUAACAACUCUACGGUCUCUUCUUACACACAUUUAUAUGUAACAAGUCCAAUCUAAAAAUUCGAUAACAAUCCAAGAAGCAAGCGGUUUGUCUACUUAUCAGUUAUUAUUACACGUAUACAAAUCAAAUCCCUACUCAACUGCCACGUGUCCAUUUUCGUCUCAGCUUUCUAUGCCCAAAUCCACCAUCCUCUCUCUCCCCUACUUAACUUCGAUCGAGCUCUUAGUUUGCUUCCGGUAAAUUCCACGUAACCAAGAGAAAACGGCUGAUCCCACAGACCUCAACCACCCAGAAGAACGAGAACAUGUAUACAAGCAACAAAACGACGACGUCCCCGCAAGCUCCCUGAAGUACCUCAACCCCAAAAGGGGCCAAACCAUGGAGACCGCCAGCAGGGCGAACCGCAUCUCCUUUUGGCAGCUCAACGCCCUCAUCGUCAUGGUGGUCCUCGCCGCCAGAGGCUUGGUCAGCCCUCUAGACCUUGCCUUUCCCGCCUCAAUCCGACUACCCUUCAAAAGACCCGCCGGUCUUCAACGCCGAGGGCAUAAUGGUCAAAACCGGCCGGGCUUUCGGCGCCGUGUUGGGCCUCGCCCUGCCGAUAGCGUAUAUAUUUCAAGGGUUUUUGGAAGGAGACCAAGAAGGCAUCAAAGCGGCUGUCCCGCACGUGUUUUUACUCACUAGUCAAGCUUUUAUGGACUGAGUGGCGUUUUCCGAUAGGUUUUCGACGCCGAUUAGGGUUUUGGCGCCGGUUUUCUUUAACGCAAAGAGGAUUUUCACGCUUAUGGAUUGGGUUAGGAACGAAUUCUCCAAAGUGUGUGUUGGUGGUGGUUGUGACGCAGCUGCAGAAAGAAGAGUGCUUCUUGGGAGAGGACUUGCUGUUGCUAACUUGGUGUUUUGGAGUUUAGAUCUUUUUUGUUUUAUGUUACCUAUUUAUCUUCCUAGAGCUUUCAAGAAAUAUUACUCAUCUGCGAAAACAGAUUGAGUAGACACUGUUAAAAUAAUUUUCGGAUUUUAGCUUUCAUUUUGCGUAUUGUUUUCUUGUAUAUGUAUUCUGUUGAAUUUCACG